ensembl:snRNA U6 U6 spliceosomal RNA
AAGGCCCAAAUCGUGCUUGCUUCAGCAGCAAUACAGAGAAAAUGAGCAUGGUCCCUGUGCAAGGAUGACACGCAAAUUCGUGAAGCAUUCCAUAUUUUU